rnacentral:rRNA from 1 species
UCGAUACCUACAAAGUAAACCCGCGAACACGUUCUCAACACGCUUGGGGUCGCGCCGUUGGAUGCCCUGCUGCAUCCCCCGUCGUGCUCCCUUCCCGACGACGCACCCUCGGGUGGGUCGUUCGGGUUAAACGAACAUUUUCGGCGCGGCAUGCGCCAAGGAAAACUAUCACGAGAAUGCUUGCUCUCGCGAGGCAUCGUUCGCGGUGCAUUGCGGGCGGCUUGUGCUUCUUGAAUCACUAAAUGACUCUCGGCAACGGAUAUCUCGGCUCUCGCAUCGAUGAAGAACGUAGCGAAAUGCGAUACUUGGUGUGAAUUGCAGAAUCCCGUGAACCAUCGAGUCUUUGAACGCAAGUUGCGCCCGAAGCCAUUAGGUCGAGGGCACGCCUGCCUGGGCGUCACGCAUCGCGUCGCCCCCUCCCCCUAAUUUCCAUUGCGAAGGCGGGUGGAUCUGAGGGGACGGACAUUGGCCUCCCGUGCUCUUACUGUGCGGCCGGCUUAAAUAUGAUUCCUCGUCGACGGAUGUCACGACUAGUGGUGGUUGAAUCAAUCGCGCGAUGUCGUGCGUGACCCUGUUUGAUCGCGGACAUCAUUACUGACCCAAAGGCGCCGUGCGCAUUCGACCGCGACCCCAGGUCAGGCGGGAUCACCCGCUGAAUUUAAGCAUAUC